AAUGAACGUGGGCGGCGUGGAUCAGGCAUGCAAGUCGAACGAAUCCCAUCUGGGUAACUGGGUGGGGGAAGUGGCGAAAGGGGCAGUAAGGCAUGGGUAACCUGCCCCGGACUUCGGGAUAGCCUUCCUAACGGAUGGGUAAUACCGAAUGCCGUAACGUGGGGGCAUCCUCGUGUUACGAAAGCCGCAAGGCAGUCCGGGAGGGGCUCAUGUGGUAUUAGCUUGUUGGUGGGGUAACGGCCUACCAAGGCAAAGAUGCCUAGCAGGUGUGAGAGCACGACCUGCGCCACUGGCACUGGGACACUGGCCAGACUCCUACGGGAGGCUGCAGUCGAGAAUCUUCGGCAAUGGGCGAAAGCCUGACCGAGCGACGCCGCGUGUGCGAUGAAGGCCUUCGGGUUGUAAAGCACUGUCGUGGGGAAGAAAAGGGCAACCUUGAUCGACCCCAGGAGGAAGCUCGGGCUAAGUUCGUGCCAGCAGCCGCGGUAAUACGUAGGGUGCGAGCGUUGUCCGGAAUUAUUGGGCGUAAAGAGCUCGUAGGCGGUGUGUCACGUCGAUCGUGAAAACUUACAGCUUAACUGUGAGCGUGCGGUCGAUACGGGCAUCACUGGAGUUCGGCAGGGGAGACUGGAAUUCCUGGUGUAGCGGUGAAAUGCGCAGAUAUCAGGAGGAACACCGGUGGCGAAGGCGGGUCUCUGGGCCGAUACUGACGCUGAGGAGCGAAAGCGUGGGGAGCGAACAGGAUUAGAUACCCUGGUAGUCCACGCCGUAAACGGUGGGCACUAGGUGUGGGGAUCAUUCCACGGUCUCUGUGCCGCAGCUAACGCAUUAAGUGCCCCGCCUGGGGAGUACGGCCGCAAGGCUAAAACUCAAAUGAAUUGACGGGG
rnacentral:rRNA from 1 species